AGUUUGAUCAUGGCUCAGAGCGAACGCUGGCGGCAGGCUUAACACAUGCAAGUCGAGCGGGCGUAGCAAUACGUCAGCGGCAGACGGGUGAGUAACGCGUGGGAACAUACCUUUUGGUUCGGAACAACACAGGGAAACUUGUGCUAAUACCGGAUAAGCCCUUACGGGGAAAGAUUUAUCGCCGAAAGAUUGGCCCGCGUCUGAUUAGCUAGUUGGUGAGGUAAUGGCUCACCAAGGCGACGAUCAGUAGCUGGUCUGAGAGGAUGAUCAGCCACAUUGGGACUGAGACACGGCCCAAACUCCUACGGGAGGCAGCAGUGGGGAAUAUUGGACAAUGGGCGCAAGCCUGAUCCAGCUAUGCCGCGUGAGUGAUGAAGGCCCUAGGGUUGUAAAGCUCUUUUGUCAGGGAAGAAACGGUGCGGGCUAAUAUCCUGUGCUAAUGACGGUACCUGAAGAAUAAGCACCGGCUAACUACGUGCCAGCCGCCGCGGUAAUUC
rnacentral:rRNA from 1 species